rnacentral:rRNA from 1 species
UACGUAGGGUGCGAGCGUUAAUCGGAAUUACUGGGCGUAAAGCGUGCGCAGGCGGUGAGGUGUGUCCGAUGUGAAAGCCCCGGGCUUAACCUGGGAAUGGCCAUGGAAACUGGCGAACUGGAGUGUGGCAGAGGGGGGUGGAAUUCCGCGUGUAGCAGUGAAAUGCGUAGAGAUGCGGAGGAACACCGAUGGCGAAGGCAGCCCCCUGGGCUAGCACUGACGCUCAGGCACGAAAGCGUGGGGAGCAAACAGG